UCUAAAAUUAAAAUAAUCCAUGGUCUUUGUUCUUCUAUAGACACAGCAACUCCUCGACUCUCCCCUCCCAUGUCCCCUCAUAUCCCUGUCAUCCUAUCUUCUCUAUCUCCCCUCCAGACCUUCCGAUGUAACUUUUUUUUAAUCAUGUUUGUGCUGCCUGCAUAAUUUCCUGUUGCUGGGAGAACAGAAUACUAUUGUUCUCACUCAUGUUCUUUACAACGUCACACCCCAAUCUAGCCAACGUGUCUCGAUUUGAGGUUCAGCAGUAAAUUACAAAUCUUCCCUUCAAGUCAUAACGAUGCAAUGCUAAAUGUUUGCGCCACGGUGGCGAAUGGUGGAUAUGGCUUCAAAAUGCUCCUCAAUUCAGGGAUGGAAGGUGUCACUGUACUCCUCAAUUUCGCAGCUGGGAUAAUGGGAUAACUAGAAGAUUGAAAUACUGCUCGUUUUUAAUUGAACUGCCUUUUCUGUCAGCAUGCUAGGCUAGCUAAUGCUAAAGCAGCCCAUUGGAUUCCACAACACUUCCGGCAAACUCAUCCAAGGCGGAUGAGAAAGUGAGACUCCUUCAUUUUUUUCUGGUUACAUUGGAGUCAAUGAACUAAUAGACCCAACUGCUAUAGCACUGGUGUCUAUGGGAGAGCCACACCCUUAAGCAGACCGGAACUGACGGUAAAACGGCCUGAGUGAACUCUUUGUCUAGGCGUCGCAUUUUCAUGGAAUCCAAUGGGCUGCUUUAUCAUUAGCUAGCCUUGCAAGCUGACAGGAAAAACGGUUUAAUUAAACUAGCAAAGCAAUAGUCGUAGAACCAUGGCUCGUUGGCCAAAGCCUAUAGGGAAAUUAAUGUUAUUUUUUGGAUAAACACAGAAAAUAAGGUAAACACAGGCUUAGGAGAUCUUAAGUUUUGUCCUAUGAGAUAAUAUUCAUCAGCUAACGUGACUUUGGAUUUUGAAGCAUUUGUGUAAUUAAAACAAGCACAUAAAGGCUUCAUUCAUAAAGGUAAUGUUAACUGACUGAUUAUCUCAUUGAACAAAACGUAUAAGAUCUCCUAAGCCUCAGACCUUAUUUUCUGUGUUUAUCCACAAACCCCAUUCAUUCUCCCAUAAGAAAGGAUGAAUGAACCACAGGUAACUAAUUUCCGUUUUUUAGGACUGCAGGCUGACGAGCUCCAUUUCCGUGUACGAUAUCCAAACUUAAUUUAACAAUUUUAACUGCAUGGAUACAUUUUUAUUACGUUGUCCACAAGAACUGGUGUGGCAGUAUACUCUCCUCGCCCCAACCAGGGACCCUCUGCACACAUCAACCACAGUCACUCACGAAGCAUCGUUACCCAUCGCGCCACAAAAGCCGCGGCCCUUACAGAGCAAGAGGAACAACUACUUCUAGGUCUACGGACGAGUGACGUCACUGAUUGAAACACUGUUAGCGCGCACCACCGCUAACUACCUAGCCAUUUCACAUCGGCGUGGAGAGGAUGGGCUGCAACAGGAAUGUGCUAGCUGUUUUCAGAGUAAAAGCUGUGUCACUAUCUGACUUACUGUUGCUCCAGCUAGUUAUAAGGGCCACCAACAAGUAUCCUUAAUUAGUUAAAGGGGAAGUUCACCCAAAAAUACUUCUGGGCCCUUUACAACACUUACCCGGCUGUUUGUCAGUACCCCAGAUAGUUUUAGGUCCAUUGGUUUAGUAUUUAGAUUUCUGUGUUUUUAUAUAUAAAUUCUGAAUUUCCCAAAGUUACCUAAAAUGCAUUCAAACGUAUUUGUUACAUAAACAACAAUUGGUGUCUCGGCAUUGAAUUGCCAAAUACAUGUGGCCUUUAAUGUAAAAAGUAUAAACAACUAAGUUCUUCCAUAUAGAAUGCAAUCGGUAAAUACUCUUAAUCCUGGUUCUAAAAUGGAUAAUUACACUAGGCGGGACGAAUGAGCAUUUCACUAUUGGUCUUCAAGAAAGGAAAUCAGAACGAAAGGAAGUAAACAAAGAGAUGGUACCUAGCUAGGCUAAAGUAAGGCUAAUAACGGUAGUAGUCAAGUAGCUGAGUGAAGUUGGCCAGAAUGAAGUGCAUUGUACCAGCUGCGGUUGACCGUGUCUAGUGAUCACGUUGUGGCCACUGACUACAAUGGGGACCGACUGAAACCGGGUUCUGAUCCCACCGUCUUUCCGACAUACACGGGAACGCUCCACCCAUUCAAGCCAACAUCACCAAUCACUCUUUGUUUAUACCUGCCUGGGAAGGAAUGGAAGAAGGAGCGGGAUGGUGGAACAGACAUGAAGAUAGGACAAUCAACCAUACUGUCUCGGAUUUGAUCUUUGUUCAAUUUCUUACAUCUGUGUAUCUUUUCACACCCGUUUCAAAGAGGGGACUCAAUGUUCCUCCACUCUUGCCUCCUCCAAUAAUUUUUCAGGAGGAUACAAGGAAAGACUAAUUAGGGCUCAUUUCAUUUGUUUUUGUUAUUCAGUUACACACCUUUCAGUAGAUCCAGAAGCCAUGUGACGUAUUCCAAACAGGCCAAGGACUGGAUUCAACUAUUCUGCCUGCAGUUAUGGAACCCCUACCUGUCCCAGACCUGCUGUUUUCAACUCUUAAUGAUCGGCUAUGAAAAGCCAACUGACAUUUAUUCCUGAUUAUUAUUUGACCAUGCUUGUCAUUUAUGAACAUUUUGAACAUCUUGGCUCUCUCUAAUUCUCUCCUUCUCUCUUUCUUUCUCUCUCUCGGAGGAACUGAGCCCUAGGACCAUACGUCAGGACUACUGGGCAUGAUGACUCCUUGCUGUCCCCAGUCCACCUGGCCUUGCUGCUGUCCCAGUUUCAACUGUUCUGCCUGCGGUUAUGGAACCCCUACCUGUCCCAGACCUGCUGUUUUCAACUCUUAAUUAUCGGCUAUGAAAAGCCAACUGAAAUUUAUUCCUGAUUAUUAUUUGACCAUGCUUGUCAUUUAUGAACAUUUUGAACAUCUUGGCCAUGUUCUGUUAUAAUCUCCACCCGGCACAGCCAGAAGAGGACUUGCCACCCCUCAUAGCCUGGUUCCUCUCUAGGUUUCUUCCUAGGUUUUGGUCUUUCUAGGGAGUUUUUCCUAGCCACCGUGCUUCUACACCUGCAUUGCUUGCUGUUUGGGGUUUUAGGCUGGGUUUCUGUACAGCACUUCGAGAUACUAGCUGAUGUACGAAGGGCUAUAUAAAAUAAACUUGAUUGAUUGAUAGAUAAGAGUGUCUGAACAGAAGACAUUCAACUUUAAAACCCAAUUGGUCCAGUAGGCUGUCAAUUGGCGGGAAGAUAAACUGAUCAUAUACAGUGCCAUUGGAAAGUAUACAGACCCCUUGACUUUUUCCACAUUUUGUUAGGUUAUAGCCUUAUUCUAAAAUUGAUUAAAUUGUUUAUUUUCCUCAUCAAUCUACACACAAUAACCCACAAUGACAAAACAAAAACAGGUUUUUAGAAAUGUUUGCUAAUUCAUUAAAAAAGUGUUGUAAAGUGUUGGUCCCAUGUUUCAUGAGCUGAAAUAAAAGAUCCCAGAAAUUUU